rnacentral:rRNA from 1 species
UACGGAGGGAGCUAGCGUUGUUCGGAAUUACUGGGCGUAAAACGCGCGUAGGCGGCUUUGUAAGUUAGAGGUGAAAGCCCGGGGCUCAACCCCGGAAUUGCCUUUAAGACUGCAUCGCUAGAAUCCGGGAGAGGUGAGUGGAAUUCCGAGUGUAGAGGUGAAAUUCGUAGAUAUUCGGAAGAACACCAGUGGCGAAGGCGGCUCACUGGACCGGUAUUGACGCUGAGGUGCGAAAGCGUGGGGAGCAAACAGG